rnacentral:rRNA from 1 species
UACGAAGGGGGCUAGCGUUGUUCGGAAUUACUGGGCGUAAAGCGCACGUAGGCGGAUAUUUAAGUCAGGGGUGAAAUCCCGAGGCUCAACCUCGGAACUGCCUUUGAUACUGGGUAUCUUGAGUCCGGAAGAGGUGAGUGGAAUUCCGAGUGUAGAGGUGAAAUUCGUAGAUAUUCGGAGGAACACCAGUGGCGAAGGCGGCUCACUGGUCCGGUACUGACGCUGAGGUGCGAAAGCGUGGGGAGCAAAC